rnacentral:rRNA from 1 species
GACGAACGCUAGCGGCGUGCCUAAGGUAUGCAAGUCGAACGGGGGGAGCAAUCCCCUAGUGGCGAACGGUCGAGUAACACGUAGACAGCCUGCCUCCCAGUGGGGGAUACCCGCUCGAAAGGGCGGCUAAUACCGCAUGUGGUCCAGAGCGGCAUCGCUCCGGUACUAAAGGUUUACUGCUGGGAGAUGGGUCUGCGCCCUAUCAGCUAGUUGGCGGGGUAACGCCCACCAAGGCGACGACGGGUAGCGGGUCUGAGAGGAUGAUCCGCCGGACGGGGGCUGAGACACGGCCCCGACUCCUUCGGGAGGCAGCAGUGGGGAAUUUUGGACAAUGGGGGCAACCCUGAUCCAGCAAUGCCGCGUGUGUGAAGAAGGCCUGCGGGUUGUAAAGCACUUUAGGUGAGGAGAAAGGUCAUCAGGUUAAUAGCCUGGUGAAUUGAUGUUACUCACAGAAUAAGCACCGGCUAACUCUGUGCCAGCAG